rnacentral:rRNA from 1 species
GACGAACGCUGGCGGCGUGCUUAACACAUGCAAGUCGAACGAAGUGGCGAACGGGUGAGUAACGCGUAAUCAACCUGCCCUUCAGAGGGGGACAACAGUUGGAAACGACUGCUAAUACCGCAUACAGAAGGAGGGGAUUGCGUCUGAUUAGCUAGUUGGAGGGGUAACGGCCUACCAAGGCUAUGAUCAGUAGCCGGUCUGAGGGGCUGAACGGCCACAUUGGGACUGGGACACGGCCCAGACUCCUACGGGAGGCAGACGUGGGGAAUCUUCCGCAAUGGACGAAAAUCUGACGGAGCAACGCCGCGUGAGUGAUGACGGCCUUCGGGUUGUAAAGCUCUGUUAAUCGGGACGCGGUACCGGAAUAGAAAGCCACGGCUAACUACGUGCCAGCAGCCGCGGUAAUUC